GUGGAGCCAACCCUGAACGCGCCCGAUCUCGUCUGAUCUCGUGAAGCUAAGCAGGGUUGGGCCUGGUUAGUACUUAAAAAGUGGAGCCAGGACUUGCACC
ensembl:rRNA 5S_rRNA 5S ribosomal RNA